GGCGUAGUGGCAGAGUGGUUGAAUGCAGCGGUCUUGAAAACCGUAGGCAACGUAAUGUUGUCCCUGGGUCCGAAUCCCAGUUUCGCCG
rnacentral:tRNA from 1 species